UGGCUGAGUAGUAAAGCGCUUGGCUUCCGAACAAGGGGUCCCUGGCUCGAAUCCUGG
rnacentral:tRNA from 1 species